rnacentral:rRNA from 1 species
UUCGCUGCCGGCAGGCCUAAACAUGCAAGUCGAGCGGUAGCACAGAGAGCUUGCUCUCGGGUGACGAGCGGCGGACGGGUGAGUAAUGUCUGGGAAACUGCCUGAUGGAGGGGGAUAACUACUGGAAACGGUAGCUAAUACCGCAUAAUGUCGCAAGACCAAAGUGGGGGACCUUCGGGCCUCAUGCCAUCAGAUGUGCCCAGAUGGGAUUAGCUAGUAGGUGGGGUAACGGCUCACCUAGGCGACGAUCCCUAGCUGGUCUGAGAGGAUGACCAGCCACACUGGAACUGAGACACGGUCCAGACUCCUACGGGAGGCAGCAGUGGGGAAUAUUGCACAAUGGGCGCAAGCCUGAUGCAGCCAUGCCGCGUGUGUGAAGAAGGCCUUCGGGUUGUAAAGCACUUUCAGCGGGGAGGAAGGCGGUGAGGUUAAUAACCUUAUCGAUUGACUUUACCCGCAGAAGAAGCACCGGCUAACUCCGUGGCAUUAGUCUCGGUAAUACGGAGGGUGCAAGCGUUAAUCGUAAUUACUGGGCGAAAAGCCCCUGCGUGCUGCCUGCAAGUCCGAUGCCAAAUUCCCGGCCCCAGGCGGGGGACUGCAUUUAAACCGCUGCUGAUGUUGGUGAGGGGGGCCGAACCCCACGGGUGGGGUAAACCCUUUGGACACUGGGAGAGGCCGGGGGCGAAAGGGCCCCCUUUGGGAAUCGAAAGUUUGGGGGUUACCCCCCGUGCCCGAAUGAUUAUC